rnacentral:rRNA from 1 species
CCUACGGGAGGCAGCAGUGGGGAAUAUUGCACAAUGGGGGGAACCCUGAUGCAGCGACGCCGCGUGGGUGAGGAAGUACUUCGGUAUGUAAAGCCCUAUCAGCAGGGACGAAAAUGACGGUACCUGACUAAGAAGCCCCGGCUAACUACGUGCCAGCAGCCGCGGUAAUACGGGGGAUGCAAGCGUUAUCCGGAUUUAUUGGGUUUAAAGGGUGCGUAGGCUGUGAGGUAAGUCAGCGGUGAAAUGCCCGGGCUCAACCCGGGCCGGCCGUUGAAACUGGGGAUCUUGAGUGGGCGAGAAGUAUGCGGAAUGCGGGGUGUAGCGGUGAAAUGCAUAGAUAUCACGCAGAACUCGGAUUGCGAAGGCAGCAUACCGGCGCCCGACUGACGCUGAGGCACGAAAGCGUGGGGAUCGAACAGGAUUAGAUACCUGGGUUC